UGGGGAAUUUUCCGCAAUGGGCGAAAGCCUGACGGAGCAAUACCGCGUGAGGGAGGAAGGCUCUUGGGUCGUAAACCUCUUUUCUCAGGGAAGAACACAAUGACGGUACCUGAGGAAUAAGCAUCGGCUAACUCCGUGCCAGCAGCCGCGGUAAUACGGAGGAUGCAAGCGUUAUCCGGAAUGAUUGGGCGUAAAGCGUCCGCAGGUGGCGAUGUAAGUCUGCUGUUAAAGAGUCUAGCUCAACUAGAUAAAAGCAGUGGAAACUACAUAGCUAGAGUACGUUCGGGGCAGAGGGAAUUCCUGGUGUAGCGGUGAAAUGCGUAGAGAUCAGGAAGAACACCGGUGGCGAAGGCGCUCUGCUAGGCCGUAACUGACACUGAGGGACGAAAGCUAGGGGAGCGAAUGG
rnacentral:rRNA from 1 species